rnacentral:lncRNA from 1 species
AUUUCCUUCUUGCUAUGUCUUGAGUCACUUGCUCUGGGAAAAGCCAGCUCCUGUGAUAGUCAAGCAAUCCUAUGAAGAGUACCCCAGGGCAAGGAACUGAGCCCCCUGUCGUUAGCCAGAAACCCACUGAAGACUUCCACCAGAAGCCAUGUGAGCGAGCCAUCUUGGAAACCCAUCUUCCCACCUCAGUCAAGUCUUCAGAUGACUGCAGCCCAGGCUGAUACCUUGACUGACACCUUGUAAGAGGCUCUGAGUCAGAAUUGCCAGCUAAGCCAUCCCCCAAAUCUUGACCCAUAGAGACUAGAACACCAAGUAAUUGCGGCAAUGCCACAGCAGAAAGAACCUAUCGUUCCUGGGGCUGGGGAAACAAAGAGAAGAGGAUGACAUUAUUGAAACUUGUGAGGGCUCCCAUAGAGCAGAGAUGCAGACAUCUGAGAAGGAGGCUGCCAUUCAGCUGCUGCUGCUGUCCCCAAGCUUGGAGUGGGGCUCCACGGGGCUGUGACUGGCUGAGGAGUGGGUGUUGGUUGGCUGCUGCUGGGGUCUCCAAGAAGGCACAAUGAAGCUAGUUCUGUGCGUGCUGGGAAAACUGCACACCGGAUUCAACUGCUGCUACUGGAAUGAACUGCCUCUGCUGGAGAAAGAUGCGGGCCUAAGUUCCUGACUUCCUCUGACCGCUCUCCACUGGCCAAACCCAAUGAGAAGACAGAAUUGAGGCUGUCGGUAGUGUGUCCUCAGAGAUCAACCACCUUGGUCAGACAGGAGGUUGAAGAAGGCUGGAAAGCAAAACUGGAGGGUGAACAGAAAAGUUCCAGCAAUCGGGACACUGGGGGCAUUUGACACACAGGUCAGAUAAUAUACAACCACCCUACUCUAUGCAAAAAAUUUAUUUUCAAUACUAUUCAGAAAUAAUUACUUUGAUCUUGAUUUAAUCCUUAGCUUUAAACCAAUUCACAACCUAGAAAGAAUGCAUUGGCCGGGCAUGGUGGCUCACGCCUGUAAUCCCAGCACUGUGGGAGGCCGAGGUGGGCGGAUCACCUGAGGUCGGGAGUUGGAGACCAGACUGACCAACAUGGAGAAACCCUGUCUCUACUAAAAAUACAAAAUUAGCCGGGUAUGGGGGCACAUGCUGGUAAUCCCAGCUACUCAGGAGGCUGAGGCAGGAGAAUCACUUGAACCCGGGAGGCAGAUGUUGCAGUGAGCUGAGAUCGUGCCAUUGCACUCCAGCCUGGGCAACAAGAGUGAAACUCUGUCUCAAAAAAAAAAUGCAUUUAAAUGUACAGGUAUUAUUCAAAUUCAGUAAAACAUAACAUGAAUGAAUUUAAUUUUGCACUUAUUAAAGAAAAAGAUUGCACAUCACAGCUCUAGACUUAAGUUAAAAACUCCACUGGGCAUGUGCAAUGACAGAACUGAAAUAACUCAAGGUAUGUUUCUUCCUCUUUACAAACUUGGCACUGUCAUAGUCUAUUUUGAGUUUAUUGUUUAAAUGUACACAUGUGCCAUACCAUAGGGUUUUGGAGAAAUGAGCUAUAUCCCAAGAGAGUUUCAACAGUUCGAAGCUGUUGAAGACUUACACUUGAAACAAAUAUGUGUAGCUGAGUCUGUGUGUAGCUGUAUUUGGACUAAAUGCUAACUGGAUGUUCUCUGAAUUAACUUCCAUGUGGCAUACGGUGUUUCUUAAAAUAUAAGAUAUGAAGAGCAGGCUAUUUAAAGCUUGCAUACACAUUAUUAAAAUUCAACAUUAACUGCCACAAUAGUUUGAAACUUAGACCAACAAAAGGUUGCUUUACUGAUAUCGUUUAGAUUUGCCAGUGCUUGGUGUUAAUAAAAGCAGAUCAAUUUGGUGUGGGUUUCAUUAUUGCUUUUAAAGUCUCUCUGGGUCAUGCCUGCACUGGGGUGGACUGCUCCCCUGCCCGCCCGUGGCCCACUGCUUCAUUGAGCCCAUCUUUUGGGUGUUUUCUGUCAUAACUUCUGCUUGCUCAAUUUUCUGCUUACUCAUAACUUCGCCUCUCACAAGAUCUUGUGAGCUGCUCUCACCAGUCCUUACCUUCCUACUUUGGGUCCCAUUGUCUCCUUUCUUAAUCUCCCAGAAUGACGUAAUUCAAAUCCCUGCAAGAGAGACUUUUAUUUGGCCAGCACAUCUUUUGGAGCAGACAAUAUCACUGGCUUUCAGCUAGACGGUGCAUUGACCCUAUUGGCUCUGGUAACCAGAGGAGGAUGGGUUCACUGACCCAAAUCAUGCCUGUCCAGAAGGGGCUCUGUGCAACACAGUUUCCGGGAUUGGUGAGUGUAAUGCCCGGAAAGUUUGAACAUGCAUAGAAAUCCCUAAGGCAAACAAGAAUUUAUUUGUAAUAUAGUAGAUAGAGCGCUGGAUGUGGAGUCAGGUGUACCUGGUCUUAAAUCCGCUCUGUGAUGUUUUUGCAAGUCUGAUAUUUCCUCAUCCUUAGUUUGCUUGUAGCGAAAUAGGUGUUUUGGCUGGACGUGGUGGCUCAUGCCUGUAAUCCCAGCACUUUGGGAGGCUGGGGCGGGUGGAUCACCUGAAGUCAGGAGUUCGAGACCAGCCUGACCAACAUGGUGAAACCCCGUCUCUACUAAAAAUGUGAAAAUUAGCCGGGCGUGGUGGUGCACUCCUGUAAUCUCAGCUACUCAGGAGGCUGCGGCAGGAGAAUCACCUGAACCUGGGAGGUGGAGGUUGCCGUGAGCCAAGAUCGUGCCAUUGCACUCCAGCCUGGGAAACAAGAGUGAAACUCUGUCUUGGAAAAAUAAAAAAUAAAUAAAUAAAUAAAAACAGAUGCUUCAUUUAGGUAGAGAAUGCAAGCCCUAAAACUUAAAAAUGCUGAAACGAAGUCAUAGCAAGAAGUCUAGCUGUGGGUGGCUGCCGGCAUUGGUUCAGGGUCAGCUUCUCAGAGCAUCUCUUGGCCUUUCUCCUAUACUUGUCCCACCACAGUUGCAUGAUGGCUUUUACAGCUGUAGACAUCCUGUCCUUCUCCAGAUAGGAAGAAAGGGGAGGUGGUGAUGAGCCCAUGGACCCAAGUUUAUGCCUAUUAGGAAAAGCGAAGGGCUCCCCAGACUCCCAGCAGAUUUGCACUGAUGUCUCUUCUGCCAAGGCAGUGUACAAGGCCACCCCUGGCUACAGGGCAGGCUAGGACAGGGGUAUUUGUGUGGGGCUAGACAUAGGUUUCCCAGAACAAAACUGAGAUUAUACCAGCAGAAACACAGGAGAGGGGACAGGCAUUAGGAAGGUGGGUGGGAUAUCGCAAAGGGGUUAAAUCUAUCUGAUCUGUUUCCUUCCAGGGUGGUUGUGAGGAUUAGACAUUUGUGAAAUGUGCUAUGGGGUUGUAUUAGUCCAUUCUCACACUGCUAUAAAAAGCUGCCUGAGACUGAGUCAUUUAUAAACAAAAGAGGGUUAAUUGACUCAUAGCUCUGCAUGGCUGGGGAGGUUUCAGAAAACUUACAAUCAUGGUGGAAGGCAAAGGGGAAGCAAGUACUUUCUUCACAAGGCAGCAGGAGAGACAGGAAGUACCACACUUUAAAACCACCAGCUCUGGUGAGAACUCACUCACUAUCACGAGACCAGCAUGGGGAAAAUCACCCCCAUGAUCCAAUCACUUCCCACCAGGUCCCUCCGUCAACAUAUGGGGAUUACAAUUUGAGAUGAGAUUUCGGUGGGGAAGCAGAGCCACAUCAUAUCAGGGGCCCUUCUCAAAAUGAAAACAUGAAGCUCCCCUACUUGAUCAUUCUAUUUCCUAUGGCUGUUUUCCUAAAGAUCGGCCCUUUUUUCCACUUUACUUUGAGAACCACCAAACAAAAUUGAGUCUGGCCUGACACUGCGUACCCUUUUCCCUUGCAACCUCAUCUCUUCAUGUGCCCUUUGCCCUCUGAUGACUCUAACCUCUUUCGAAGGUCCUUGAAUUCACUAAGAUUUGUUUACUCAAGGGCCUUUACUUUUGCAAUUUUCCCUGCUUGGAGCAAUCUUCCUCCUUUCUGUUCCUUCUGCAGAGAAGUCUACCCUGACUCUCAACCAAUGUGAAAAAUCCCCUUGCUCUUUCCUGGCUUUCUUUCAGAGUGCCGAGCACAGUCUUCAUUUCUGGAUAGUCUAUUGAUUAGCAUUUAUCUGCUUGAAAGGCAGCCUAACUGUAGCAUUUGAGGGCCUGAGUGCUGGAGCUAGACUACCUGGAUUUAAGCGCUUCCCAGCUGUGUGAUCCCGGGAAAGUUAUUUUAAUGUCUGGUGCCUCAGUUUCCUCAUCUGUAAAAAUAGAGAUAUUAAUAUCACCUACUUCAUAGGGUUGUGGAGGGGAUUAACUGUUUAUAUUUGUAAAGUGCUUAGAGCAGUGCUCUGUGCAUAGCAGAGAUUAUGCGAGUAUUACAUAAAUAAAAGAAAUAAUACCUGUUUCCUCCACGAUACUGUGUGAUCUAUAAAGAGGAGAACUGUAUCUGUUCUUUCACUGUAGUGGUUAGCACAGUGCCAGGCCAUGUUAUUGUUGUUGUUGCUGUUGUUUUACAUCCAGCGAGUAUUAAAUAUUUGCCAAAUAAAUGAAUAAAG